UAGGCUCAAGAACACUGAUGAAUUUUAUUUGGUGUUGGUACAUAGCAUUGAAGAAGAGGAAAAAUGAAUGUCUUUAUCCAAUCAACAAUACAUUCAUUUUAUGACAUUAUAAUAACUUUACAUGAAAGAGAACUUAUUAGGUUCCCUGAAGCACUAAAAGAUGAUGUAUUUUGCAAUCUUAUAUAUGGAAUUUUUUAAGUUAUAAAGAUAAAUUUACAUUUAUAUAUAUGUAGGGCAAAACAGACAAAAUCUAAGCUUACUCCCAUUUGCUCAUGAUAUGUUGAGUAUGCUUGAAAUCAUAGGUCAGCAACAAGCUUCCAUCCAUUCUCUUCAAUGCAAAUCUCUCAACCAAAACAUAGCAACCAAAUCUCCUCCAACCUCCCCUGCCUCCAAAUUCCUCCACUCUCUUCACCCUCACUUGCCUCUCCUUUGCACCAAUCCACCCAAACCUCUCUUGCUCCCACUUCAUUCUCUCAACAACUGCUAAACUUAAGCCCACUAUAGCUUCUCCUCCCACAUCAUCAGGGCUCCUAAACCACAUCACCCCAUCAAUUACAUUCUUCUCACUUUGCAGCAUAGCUUCUUUUCCAGCAACUGCAACUACUUCGGUUUCAACAGUAACAUCCACAGUCACAGCAUUACCUUCAUUAUAGUUACUUUCACAAGCAAAAAUUUGUUGCCAUUGUUGCUCCAGUGUCAUCUCAUAAUAUCUUGAAUUAUCCAUCUGAUCUUUGAGUGCUCCAUCUCUGAUAAACAUGAAAGGGCAGUACCACCGUCCUACUACCACAGGUGGAGGGCUUCUAUAUGAUAAUGGAAAGUUGAAGUCUGGAAGGCGGGCACGGACAGUCUUGUCAAGUCCCGGUGCUUCUUUUAACUCGAGUUCGCGUGGUGGUGAAGAGGCAUAUACUCCCCAAUCUUUUCUCCUCAAGAAAUUUGGAGGGAACCCAUCCGAAGGGACGGAUUUGGCAACAAAACCACCCCAUUUUCUAUGUCGAAUUUCGAAUUUCUGAUAUAUGUCCUGAGGAUCCAAAGAUAGUGGUUCUAAAUCAGAAAUACAGCUGCAGAAACAGUAUGUCUUCAUGUCCUCCUCCUUCGAGUUUCUGUAAGCUGCCCCUUUGUGCCUCCCUUUUCUCUCUAUGCAGUAGUAUUGAUUGGACAAUAGUGGUAGAUUAAGAACAGGAAUAAAGAGAACGCGAUUUAUAUAAACUUGUUGAUGCUUUCCAGUUUGUCUUGUGUAAUGAACUUUUAAAUUCUUAUUUUGAGGGAAGGGCAGGUUCCUUACCAGAUUGCUCUUGCACAAUCCAAAACAGCAAGUGGGUUGAUAAGCUUCUUCAUCCUGGAUUACCAGGAUACCAGAAUUUGGACCCUCAGGAGGAGGUAAUGAAAGAGCUGAAGGAUCUCUCUGAUACAUUGAAAGAGGCCUUGUCACAUACAUCUUAAAUUCCUUUUUCUGUGAUGUCUAAAAUGAGUAUUGAAUCAAAAUAGAUUGAGCAACCCUGGAAAUAUUGAACUCAAUAAGUUGUAGAACUAGA
rnacentral:misc_RNA from 1 species